rnacentral:lncRNA from 1 species
CAGAGGCACUGAGGACAUCACAUCCCCUCACGGCAUCCCUCUUGACCUUCUGGACCGAGUGAUGAUAAUCCGGACCAUGCUGUAUACUCCACAGGAAAUGAAACAGGUACCCUCUAGGGUCCUCUACGUACAACAUACAACAGCUUCGCAAUAGCCAGUGUUGGAGGCUCCAAGAACGAGGGUCCUGUGGCUAUGUGGAGAGUAAGCAGCAGAGCCAGGACUGCCACUCAGAGCUAGUUCACCCUUGCUGCCGCCAUUCGAACCCAGAGCUCCUGGCCCAAACAGUCUGGAAUGUUCUGUACUGUGCUUCUAGGACAGUGACUUGCCAGGCCAACUCUGGGCUGGGGCUGUCUUGGCUCUGUCAGGAGGGCCUCUCCUCAGGCUUUCUCUCAGGA